rnacentral:rRNA from 1 species
GAUCAUGGCUCAGGAUGAACGCUGGCGGCGCGCCUAACACAUGCAAGUCGAACGGACGAUGAAAAGCUUGCUUUUCAAAGUUAGUGGCGGACGGGUGAGUAACGCGUGGGUAACCUGCCUCAUACAGGGGAAUAGGCAGCUGGAAACGGCUGAUAAAACCGCAUAAGCGCACAGUGCCGCAUGGUACAGUGUGAAAAACUCCGGUGGUAUGAGAUGGACCCGCAUCUGAUUAG